rnacentral:lncRNA from 1 species
CUUCUGCACAGUCAGUAUCCUCGGGAGUUCGUGCACCAUCUCCUGCCCCAUCAUCAGUACCGUUAGGGUCAGAAAAGCCCAGCAAUGUGUCUCAGGACAGGAAAGUUCCAGUCCCUAUUGGGACUGAACGUUCUGCACGUAUCAGGCAAACUGGAACGUCAGCUCCAUCUGUUAUUGGGAGCAAUUUGUCUACAUCAGUAGGACAUAGUGGCAUCUGGUCCUUUGAAGGGAUUGGUGGCAAUCAAGACAAAGUAGACUGGUGUAACCCUGGGAUGGGAAAUCCUAUGAUCCACAGACCGAUGUCUGACCCAGGAGUAUUUUCACAACAUCAAGCAAUGGAGCGAGAUAGUACAGGAAUUGUAACUCCUUCUGGUACAUUCCAUCAGCAUGUUCCUGCAGGCUACAUGGACUUUCCUAAAGUUGGGGGUAUGCCUUUUUCUGUGUAUGGGAAUGCAAUGAUUCCUCCAGUAGCACCUAUCCCUGAUGGUGCUGGAGGACCCAUAUUUAAUGGCCCUCAUGCUGCAGACCCUUCUUGGAACUCACUGAUAAAGAUGGUUUCCAGCUCCACGGAAAAUAAUGGCCCUCAAACGGUGUGGACUGGACCCUGGGCACCUCACAUGAACAGUGUGCAUAUGAACCAGCUUGGCUGAUGAGGAUCAGCUUGUUAGCCUGCAGAUUCCUUUUCAUUUGGAGGAAAUCACAAGUG